CCAGUACUUUCCGAGGUGCACCGCGGACUCUGACUGGAAGUCCUGUCCAGGCUCGUCUUUCUAUUCCUCUUCCCUCACCAAGUGGAACGGAUUUACCAGGCAAUGGGCAAUGCAGGGCAGGCCUGCUGUGCCAGCCGCCGCCCCUCCCCUCCUCGCCCCGCCCCUCCCAGCCCCACAACGGAGGCAGAGAAGGCUCUGGUUCAUUUACCUCAGAGAAAGGACAAGAUGCCAAAGAAGACCACAUCCUGCCUGUCCCCAGAAGGAGGAGGCCGUGCGUGUGUAAGGAAUAACCCCACUGCCAACCUAACAGCCAGAAGAAGCCAGUCCCUCAUCCUGGGACGAAGAAAGGACCUGACAGGGAGAAGGAACACUGAGUGUCCAGAAUCUCUGAGAAAGCAGACGCUCACUCAUCUUUACGGGCUCAGCACCGCUUAAGUGCAUCUAUUCUUCCUGAGAAAGGCUGAGCGUCGUCUGCCGCGGUGAGGCCGCUCCCUGGCAUUAUCACCAUCCCCUUGUGAACCCUCCUGAGGGCAGCCAGGGGACCCUGCAGGCUCUGAAAUGGGUCUCAACGGAGCCCUGAUAAAAUCCCCUCAUGGCGAUCCCCACGCUCUAGCCGAAAAAUUCGCUCCCCAAUCUAUUUUCCAUCUUAGAUUUUUCCCAGGUAGGACAUUCAACAGAGCUCACUGGAGAUUAUGCAAUGAAUUCAAAUGACGGCAUAAAUCUAUUCCAAGUAAUAAAUGCCAGCAAUAUUAAAAUGCCCUGAUUUGAACUAUAUGAAAUGCCUCACAUUAUUAAAUUCUCAGGGAGGAAUUAAAGUCUUAAAAAAAGUUAAUAUCCUUUCUCUUGAAGGUUGAGCUCUAAAGAAAUUAAAAGUCCACAAUUAU